AUCGGAAGGUGCGGCUGGAUCACCUCCUUUCUAAGGAGUCCGUAAGGACACACGGAAUGCACUUGAGUCUUGUUUAGUUUUGAGAGGGCUAUGUGGGGCCUUAGCUCAGCUGGGAGAGCGCCUGCUUUGCACGCAGGAGGUCAGCGGUUCGAUCCCGCUAGGCUCCAUUAUCUAGUUUGACUAGAUAAAGAACUUGUCCAUUGAAAAUUGAAUACCGAUAUCAAAUAGUAACAAGAAAAUAAACCGAAAACGCUGUGAAAAUUAAUGAGUUUAAGACUGAAAGGUCAAAAAUAAGGUUAAGUUAGUAAGGGCGCACGGUGGAUGCCUU
rnacentral:tRNA from 1 species